GGUCCUGGCAAUCAGAAAUUCUGGGACACAGAUUUUCUUCACUAAAACUCUUAAUUUAUGCCCAUAAUAGGCUGAUUAAGGAUGUGGCAGUGGAGUGAUAUGAUUAUCAGCUCAGCUUCUUCAGACCGAAGUUAUAGAUCCCAUGAGCCACAUAUUCUGUUUCUGUGUGAUGAUGCCUGGAUGUGGGCCCUGUGUAUGUACAGUGAGUGAAUGGAUGCCUCUCCGGUGGAAGGAUGCUGCAAUUAACGGCCUGGACAGAGGAUGGGGACAUGAAUAAUGGUAGAGUCCAGCAUUAGCACAACACUCCAUUCAUCACUGCUGAAGGGCAAAUGCAUAACCCUCAAAAUGAUCCUGGAAAGAGGAAAAGGGAGAGGAAUUGCAAGUUCCAUGGAACAGUGAUUUACCAUGCAGCAGAGGAUGUGAGCAUCUCCGAAAUAGAAGGGUCCACAUAUUUUGAACUUUAACAUAUAUAAUGAUACUUAUAAUGUGACUGUUACGGGCAGCUGAUUUUUCAUACAAUUGACAUGUGAGUAUUUUCCAGGCAGGCAUCUUAUUUCCUGUGUAUGUGCCCCCUAUUUAUGCAGGACCAUCAACAGGACCAACAUUGAGUAGAAAUCAGUCACAGCAAACCACUUUCCUUUUUAUUUCAUGUACUCUGUACCCUCCUUUAAUGGCAACAUAAUUGCAUCAUAUCAUUGGUUUGUAGUGUGGAGGCUGUGGGUCUGAUUUUUAGUUUCCCAAUCCGUGCAGAAUAUUCAGAAGAAUAGAGGGUUGGAGACCUCUAGUUCAGGUCAAAAUCAGUGUGAAAGGCUUGACUUUGGAAAGGGUAAAGAGAGUUCAAUUUAAACUGAGUCUCCAGCUAGGGGCAGGGAGAGGAAAGAGGAGUUAGUCUCCCACAAGAGGAGACUAGCAUAAUCUUUGUGCCCUAAUUAGGCAUCCUUGGGCUUAGGGAAUUACUAGGGGAUACGGGAGUGUAAUGCAGGAAAACCAAGGCAGAAGUCAUGUCCGAGAGUCUGGAUCAAUCCUUCAGGGCAGGGGGUGGAGCAAGGGAAGAAAGGGGAGCUGUGCCAAGGGGUCUACCAGUGGGCCCAGGGCAGAUCCCAAGUCCAUAAGCAAUAGGAUCAGGUCCAGGUACCACCUUCUUGAAAUCUGAGGCUGCUGCUGUACUUCCUGCCCCUGCUACCUUGGGCCUGGGGCUGUAAAUGUCAUCAGAUAGUCCACCUGGAAGGGCCUGUGGAAAGCAAAAUCAGAGAAACAAGGCAGGAGCUGGCCACUUGUGAAAUUUUUCCUGGAAACUCUGUCAUGGAAUCAUGUUUUAGAUACCAGAAGGAAGGGCUGCUCUGACUAACUGACCAUGAAUCGGAGAAGAGGCCUGCGAUGAUCUAGGCAGUGGGUUAUGGGAGAGGAAUGGAAAACUGCAGAAUGGAUUCUCCAGCCCAUUCAGCGCUCAUACUACAUGGGCAUGUUCACAGACCUGCAGGCUUUGCCUUUGUCUGUCUCCCUGCUUUUGGAAGGGAUGGCACAGCUUUGCCCCCUUUCCUGGAGGCACAGUAGUCUGACUUGAGUCUUUCGCUGUCUUCUGUAUCCAACUCAUUCAUGAAAUUAUAUGAGAUAAUUUCCAAAUAAGUGACUUUUUUGGCUUAUUUGCCCAAUUGACUUAAUUAUUGCCGGUUUAUUCUUCUUGUUUUGGAUUCCUUGAGCUGAGAGAGUGAAAAAGGGAGUUUAUUUAAGAAGAUAAGGACAGAUUAGGUUUUCAAUUUGGUGGUAUGAUGCAGUCUGCUUUCUUAACUCUAUUAUGACCUAUUUAGUGUUUGUUUUUCUCUUAUUGUGGAAGUAACAUAUGCU
rnacentral:lncRNA from 1 species